AUUAAACGCUGGCGGCAUGCCUUACACAUGCAAGUCGAACGGCAGCACGGGGGCAACCCUGAUGGCGAGUGGCGGACGGGUGAGUAAAGCAUCGGAACGUAUCCUGGAGUGGGGGAUAACAUAGCGAAAGUUACGCUAAUACCGCAUAUUCUGUGAGCAGGAAAGCAGGGGAUCGCAAGACCUUGCGCUCUGGGAGCGGCCGAUGUCGGAUUAGCUAGUUGGUGGGGUAAAGGCCUACCAAGGCGACGAUCCGUAGCGGGUCUGAGAGGAUGAUCCGCCACACUGGGACUGAGACACGGCCCAGACUCCUACGGGAGGCAGCAGUGGGGAAUUUUGGACAAUGGGCGGAAGCCUGAUCCAGCCAUGCCGCGUGAGUGAAGAAGGCCUCGG
rnacentral:rRNA from 1 species